rnacentral:misc_RNA from 1 species
ACGAAACACUAGUCAAACGUCAAAACCAAUAUCACAAAAUUUUCAGUAGUGCGAAUUGUAAUAUCAAAGUUAUCAAUAUAUUUAUGUAAAAUACUUAUUUAAAAUGCCGCUAAUACGUUCAGCUAACUUUAAUUUAUUUAUUGAGAUCAUCGUGCGGUUAAUAUUAAUGUCCGCCUUUUGUUAUAUGGAAACAAUGGAGCCGUUCACCCGUGUUAUUCAGAAAGCUGAACUGGAAUCGGACUUCAUGUACCCUCACAUGGAGUCAUACGUACCCGGGGGAGCACUCUGGGCUAUAGUUCUGUCGGUACCGUGCACAUUGUCACUCAUCGCUUGGGCUGGCUGCAAUGAUUGCAAUGAUGCGUUCGAGAUUCUACUAUCAUGGUCUUUAGCGCUCGGAAUAAAUGGAGUCCUAACGGAUAUGAUGAAACUUAUUGUUGGGCGACCUCGGCCCGAUUUCUACUACCGCUGUUUUCCGGACGGCGUUGAGACCAAGUACCUGCAAUGUACCGGAGAUGCUACUGAAAUUAUGGAGGGCAGAAAGUCGUUCCCUAGUGGGCAUAGCAGCUUAUCGUUCUGUUCGCUCGGCAUGGCAUCGGCGUGGCUCUGCGGUCGGUUAGGCGUGCUAUCUCGACGAAGAGGCAGCGGCCUGAGAGUCGUCACGUGUUUACUACCUCUCAUGGUGGCUGGCUGUGUCGCUCUGUCCAGGAGUUGUGAUUAUCAUCAUCAUUGGCAAGAUAUACUCGUGGGAUCUAUACUAGGGUUUACAGUAGCUAUAUUUUGCUACCGACAGUAUUACAAUCCCCUAUCCUCUGACCUAGCAGGCAUCCCCUACAUCGUUUCUUGCGUUAACUCAGCUAAAUAUGUCAAUGGAAAACCUGAUUCUCCCUCAAAAGAUCCUAAAGAAGAAUCUCCCUUACUCAACAGCAAAAAAGAUGAUAAAUGGAUAUAAAUAUUAAUAUUGUUAAAUACGGGUUUAAAUUUUAAAGUACGUAAGUACUGUUUUAGGCCGGUCUUAUACUUGUAAGUUGUACUCGCGUAAGCAACUUACCGUAAAAUUAUAAAUGUGUAGUAGAACGCUGAUUAGCUGAAUCGGUGGUUAUCCGAAUGGGUCCUAAUCUACUAUGUUAUAUACUUUGUAUUUCUGUUAAAGCCUGCUAUUAUCAUUUCCAUUGUCAAUAUAUCUAUUGUUUUCGCUCCUCUGUCCGUCCGUCCGUUCGUCUGUCACCAGGCUUUAUCUUGUGAACCGUCGUGAUAGUAAGAGAGUUGACAUUUUUUCACAUAUGAUGUAUUUCUGUUGCCGCUAUAACAACAAAUGCUAAUAACUAGAAUAAAAUAAAUAUUUCUGGGGGCUCCCAUACAACAAACGUGAUUUUUUUUGCUCAUUUUAAAUAAUGGUAUGGAACCCUUCGUGCGCGAGUCCGACUCGCACUUGGCCGGUGUUUUUUUAUUACCGGUCUAUGUUUGACUAGCUUCCGCCCGCGGCUUCGCCCGCGUAGAAUUCGGUUAUAUCGCGUUUCCAAGCAAAUUCUUCAAAAGUCCGGGAUAAAAACUAUCCUAUGUUCUUUCUCAAGGUCAACUCUAUCUCUGUACCAAAUUUUAUUACAAUCAGUUCAGUGGUUUAGUUCUAAAGCGUAAUAGACAUACAGACAGAGUUACUUUCGCAUUUAUAAUAUUAGUAGAGAUUAUACGUAUUUUCGAUUAUCCUAAUCGCCCUCAGUUCAUUAAUUUGGAUAAUUAAUCGGCAUUCUACUAUAAAACACUCCGUAAUAGCUUACAAAAAUCUCUCAGAACAACUUACAACUUACAUAAGUUGCUAGCGUGACUUACAAGUGUAAUGUCGGUUAAGUUAAAUAUAUUUUUGAAUCUUAAAUCUUGAUUUUGUGUUUUUUUUUUCAUAGAAGACAAGAUUUAUAGUGCUGAUUUCUCUUUCUAUUAUUUUAAAUUGCACUUGAAAGAGAAAAAUAUUUAUUUGGCAUAGACUCCACCAAAUUGGACCGGAGGAGUUUUUAAGCAACCAAUAGAAUUUCGUUAUUGUAACACCAACAAGGUGGACAGACAACCUUAUAAAGGUCGCCGUCGACGCUGGAUGCAGGUCGCCUCCAACAGGUAUCUGUGGAGAUCUAAGGGGGAGGCCUAUGUUCAGCAGUGGACGUCCUAUGCCUGAGAUGAUGAUGAUGAUGAUGAUGAUGACAGCCGCAAAGGGUUUUACUAUGUUUAUUUUGAAAAUUAGUAACUUUGAAAUAUCUUAAAGCCAUUAAAAAUAUUCUAUAAAACAACCAUCAAGGAUUACGACGCUAUAUUGUAAAUAUAAAAUAAUAUUGUAACGCACUGAUGAGAAAUGUCUGAGUCCGAGUGCAGUCGGAGAAAAAACUAUAGUCUGCCUUCAAAUCUGUUCUUGACGUACCUAAUGACGUUCGUAAAUGUCAUUCAUACACUCAUGUUCAUCGAUGAGCUUUUAUGUCCGCAAUGACGGCCUCGAUGGCGCAAUGGUCACCAUGCCGGACUGCCAAACCUGAGGUCCCGGGUCCCAUUCCCGGUUCGGUCGACAUUUGUGUGAUGAGCAUGCUUGUUGGCCGUGGUCUGGGUGUUAUAAUAUGUAUUUAUAAAUAUGUAUAUGUGUAGUUUAUGAGUUGUGUUAGCACCCAUAACACAAGUUAAUUAAUAACUUAGCAUGGGGAUAACCGACCGUCCCGGCUGUCAUUGAACAUCCUUGGCAGUCGUAACGGGUAGUCAGAAGCCAGUAAGUCUGACACCAGUCUAACCAAGGGGUAUUGGUUUGCCCGGAUAACUGGGUUGAGGUCAGAUAGGGCAGUCGCUCCUUGUAAAGCACUGGUACUCAGUUGUAACCGGUUAGACUGGAAGCCGACCCCAACAUAGUUGAUAAAAAGGCUCGGAGGAUGAUGAUGGGGAUAACCGACCGUGUGUGAAAGAUGUCCCGACAUUAUAUUAUGUUCUUUUCUCGAUGCUGUCAGUACUGAGUGUCGUGAAUGGAGCACAUGCGUGUGUUUGUGACUAUAAGGCUUGCCUGGUUUGUUAGGCCAACUAAAUACUCGUUGGUGCUCAAGGCCUCUUUAGAAUCUCUAAAUUGAACCGGGAAUGAGUUUUUUUAAAUUCUUUAUUCAGUGAAGGUUUUAAUAAAAAAGUUGUCAUUUUGUAUUUAGAACUUUAACUGAAUGGAAUAAAGUUUGAAAUUGGAAUAAAAACUUUUUUUUUUUUAAGUCUUGUAAGUACUUUUUUCUGUAAUUGUAAAAUAGUAAAUUCAUUUAUUUUUUUUACAAUAUUUAAAUGAUUUUUCCUCCGACUGCACUGACAUAAUGUAAUUAGUAGAGUAGACAAAAAAAAUAGUUUUUUUUUUCUGUUAAUAUUUUUUCGAUAAAGUAAAUGCUAGAUUAUAUUGAAAAGUUUUUUUUUAUUCAUUAAAAACAUGUGUUACGUGUGCGAUAUUCAGUGGUUUAAUUGUAAUAAUUAUUAAUUAUUUUGUAAAAAAAUAAAUAAUAAAAAAGUGAAUUAGUGUAGGUGUAAUUUUAAUUGUAAAUUUAAUGAGGGUAGAGCGUUUUUUAUUCUUUUUUUAAAUAUUGAAAAUAUGAUGAUACUCUUUUGAACUGUCUCUGACAUUGCGCUUGUCAAUUUACUUAAAAAAAAAGAUCUUUGUCUAUGAUUUUAAUACAUGUAUGCAGUAUUUUUUAAUUCAGCUGUGUCUAGUUAGACUGAAAGGUUAUUUGAAAAUGUUGAAUGAAAUUUCGUGUUGGUGAAAAUAUCUAUGUAUAUUGUAUAAUUUUUUAAGCCAAAUUCUAGUUUAUGGUCCGUUUAUAUACUCUAAACACAGCACGGACUAUGUGAACGGGUCUCAAGCUAGAAAUUUAAAAAAAAUUGAAUACUUAUAUUUAAGAUGCCUUAUGAGUGAUUUUUUUAUAACUUGCUUGUACAUUAUUUUAUCAUAUUCCUAUAUGAAAGCUUAAAUUAUUUUAAUGUGUACUCUUUGGUCGUUUGACACUGUUAAUUCCUUGUCUUUGGACGUUUUGUGAUGUAUUGAGAUACUAUAUACAAAUCUGCCCAAGAAUUUUAGACCUUAUUAUAAAACGUGGUCUUAUUAGUACCGUGUUUAGUACUAAGUUUAAACGAAGUGAUUGGUCUAAACAUAGCAUUAAAAUCGGUACUUUUUAAAACCAAGUUUUAUAAUAUGGCUAGAGUUAUUUGAACCCAAGUAUACCGAUAGCAAAAACGUCCGUUUUUUUCUUAAAACAACUAAGAAACAAACAGCCUUACUUAUAAAAAUCAACAAAUCAUCUUCUAAGCAUUGUUUUAAGUAAUUACUACUUAAAGCCUUAAGUAGUGAUUAAAUUAUUUUGACCUAUAAACGUUGCUUAAGCAUGUCUUAAGUAAUGAACAGAUAAUGACAUAAAAACAUACUAAUUUCUCAACACUACCGGAAUGUUGGUAGCUUAAAAAAAUAUUUGUCAUCAAAACGUUGUGUAAUGGCAACAAUGGCAUCCGUAAAAUAUAAAAUUAAAAAGUUGAGCUGUCAAUAAACCGGAAAUGAAAAAUCAGCUGGUAAGAAUCCAGCCAUUUUGAUAAUUAGCGGGUUAAACAAGGGUGUGAGGCUACUUAAUUUGACAGCUCAUUUAAGACAUUGCUAAGAAAAUGAUUUAUUUCAGCCACGUUUAUAAGUAAGAUUUUUUCUUAAACAUCUCUUAAGUAUAACUUAUUAUUUUAUAAGUAAGGCUGAAAGUGUUUAUUUUGAAACGUGAAUAGUUUUAAGAAAAAUGUCGUUUGUGUUUUCGGUGAAAUUGGGUCAUAGAGUGCUUAUUCCGAGUUUUGUAAGUUAAAACUCUCGAUACGUAAUUAUGAUUCGGCUAAUAUAAACAAUCGUAUGCUACAUCACAUGAUUUGAAUAUCACACCUUUUUCUUUAACGACGUCAAAAAUCAUCAAAUGCCCCCUCCCGCUGUGGGUGACGCGCGGUGAGGGAGUGUCAGACUCUUACUGACUAAACACCGUCGUGUUCCGUCGUAGGCCGCGUAUGUACCAGCGCCAAGGUAAUGAGCGCGAACAUUCCCGCAGCACCGGGUUGAAUACUACACCUUCAUUCAUUUCGACGGAUAAUAACGUUUACUAUUUAGUGAGUAACGUUUAUAAUACGACCAAGUGCCGAUGACGGUCUUUAUUUAAAAAAAUAGUUUUAAAAUUAAUGCUAUGUAAUUAAUUUACGUAUUGAGAGAGUUAACUGGCAAAACUCACUAAGCACAUACCGUCGUACCACAAAAACUUAAACACCUGUUGAACACUUGUCUAAAAUUGUGAUUAUGACGUUAAAAUAAGGUCCAUUUUGAAGCCCAAGUGUUAAACAGAUGUUAAUUUUUUUGUAGUAUGGCUGUCAGAUUUCAAGUAUGUAUGUAAAUAUGUUUCCUUUUACAUCUUAAUAAAUUACGUUGUAUAUAAAAAAAUGUUAUUUGUCUUAAGUACUUACCUUUUAUGGACACUUUUCGUCCAUAGUUAGUAACUGCCAGUAAGAGAAUAAAAAACGCUCCUACUUAAAACUUUAAAAUGCCUUGCCUGAAAAGUAUUUAGUAACACAAUCAACUAUAUUAGAUUAAAUAUAUAUAUUAAUAAAUAAAUAAAUAAUAUUCAGAUAACGGGAUGUCUUUUGAACGCCACUCAUAUUAAUAGAAUAGAUUUAACAGUACAAAAUAGACCAUUUUUUAGUAGCCAAGAUCUAUACUAAUAUUUUUUUCCGCCCGCGGUUUCAGUCGCGUCCAGAAAUAACUGCUUCCCGUAGCAAUAUAGUCACAAAAACUAUCCUAUGUCCUUCUCCCGGGUCUAAGCUGCCUCCUCUCUAAUUUUCAGCUAAAUCGGUUCAACCAUUCUUGAGUUAUAAGUAGUGUAACUAACACGACUUUCUUUUAUAUCUACUAGACUAGAAAUACCAGAAAUAUAAUAUAGAGAACACCUUUUUAUUGGUUUGUACCCUUAAGGCUCCGAAUCUACGGGACCGAUUUGAAAAAUUCUUUCACUGUUGGAAAGCUACACUCUUCCCGAGUAACAUAGGCUAUAUUUUAUCCCCGUACGGGCAGUAGUUCCCACGGGACGCGGGUGAAACCGCAGGAGAACAGCUAGUGACUAGAUAAAUGGUUGAAUUAUACAUAAUUUCGUGAAAAAGAACAAAAUGUGGAGUUACUUGUUUCUAAAUGGUCUAUUUUGUACAGUAAUGGAAUAAUAUAAAAUAGUAACAGGCCUUGGGACUUAAAGCAUAUAUUGCUAACGUAAGUAAUAUUUUAACAUCAUAGUUGGUAUGUGAAAUACUACAUAGAUAUCGAAGCUAAAAAAUAUACAGCCUUACUACAGAAACAUUUAAACGUCUGUUGAACACUUUACUAAACGUUGAAAUAAGCUAGUUUUGCAGCCAGUUUUUUAAGACAAGUGUUCAACAGAUAUUUAAGUUUUUGUAGUAAUGGGGGAUCGUUUUUAGAUUCUUUAUAUGUACGUUUCUUUGGGUUCUACUCUCUGGACUGUUUUCGAAAACAAAUUCGUCAGUAUGAAACAGUAUUUUUAGGCAACGAAAAAAUAUGUACCUGAACAGUAUGGAAAUAAAGUUCAUAUUUCAAUGUCAAUGUUAUAAAUUAAAAGGUAUGCCACAACUUUUCAUUUUUGAGACAGAACUAAUUACAAUAUGUAAGUCAUCGUAACUGAUAGUUAGCUAGCUUUUUUUAUCUGGUAAUAAAUGCUUUAAGUGUUUACAAGGCUUGGCUUAAAGCAAUAAAAUUGUGCCUAAACCUUGUGGGGACAACUUACAGGCUAUUAAUAUCUGUUUUAGCUAUCAUACUACCAAUUCUUUAUCUAGGCCCAAGUUUAUCGACAAUAUAGACGUCAGUUUUCUUAAAACAACUUUAAAUCAAAAGUCAUUUAUUCAAAGUAGGCUGAAAAUCAGCACUUUUUGAACGUCAAAUUUACAUAAGACAGCCUCCAAAACGCCCGCCCUUCACCUCUUCCUAUGUGUUUUUGCUGGAAGAAUUUACUAUAAAUAGGUGUGAUGACAGAGUUAAAAAAUAGUGAUUCUAAUUAGUCCAUAUUUUAGAUUAUCAAAAAACAUUGGACACGUAUUUGUUAUUUUAACAAAACACUUAAUAUUUACUAAGAUAUAACGCAACAAAGAUUGAGUGCGGGCUCGUGACGUCACGUCUAUGUAAAAUUUGUACCUAAAAGUGACGUAACACAAUAUUCAAUGAGGGUCUUCUCAAUUUUUUCUGCCACAGGGUGGCGCCACGUAUGCGUCUGGUCCAAACAGCUGUCAAAUAGUAUGGAAUUGUAGGUGCCGAACUUAUUGUUUAUUGAAAUUCUGUUAUAUUGGAAGUGUUAUUGAUUUUAUUAUGGACUACGGUCAGAAUAAGGUUUCCGAACUAAAAAUUGAGCUAAGAGAGAGGGUGCAAAAGGCACUGGUACUAAGGAAAAGCUUGUUGAAAAAUUUGUUAACACAAUAUGAUUUAGUUUUUUUUAUUUACUCAACCGCAAUAGUAAAACAAUAAUGCAGUGCUUUAAUUAUAAAAUAAAAAAAAAAAAACACUAAAAUCGUUCACUAUUCAUAGUAAAGAUAAGCACUUUGACAGUUAUCUGGACCUGACGACUCGGUGCUGCCACCUCGUGGACGCCAUUUUAGAAAACUCUCAUUGUGUUGUAUCUUCGUUGUUAUUUGUUUGCGAGAUAAAAGAAAAAAUACGUGUCUAUUAUUUUAGGUUUAUCUAAAAGAUGGAUUAAUUCCUUUUUCAUUUACCAUGCUUUUUUUAAGUUAAAUUUUCGAAGUUAUCAGUUGUUUUAAGGUAAAACUGACGUUUAUGUUGUUAGUGAAAUUUGGCCUUAGUCAUUUUGUCUAUUCAGUACUGAAGCUACACUGUACUAUGUAUUUGUAUUUUAAUUUCUUGUCUGUCUGUCUUUGUGUACGGGCUGUGGAAAAUAUCACUUUUUUGUUUUUCUUGUCAGAAUAAUUUUAAAAACUAUACUCCAUUUGAUAAGCAUUAAAGGAAAACAAUCUCGAUUUGAUUUACGUGCCUAAUCGAAUGGAAUAUAGCCAUCUAACUCAACGAAAAAUAAGAUCAGAAAAGACCGAAAAUUUUACCACACCAAUGACUGAUCUAAGGUGAAGGAAAACCAAGAUUAUUAUACUCGAGGAAACCUGGACUAUAAAGUCUGAAAUCAGCAACCCGCAUUGAGCAAGCGUGGUGAUUAAUGCUCAAUCCUUCUCCGUGUGAGAGGAGGCCGCAGCCCAGCAGUGGGACGAUACAAAGGCUGAUGAUGAUGAUGAAUUAAACCUCGCCUAAGGUGUAAUUGAAGGUCAUUCAUUUGGAGUUAUGGUUUGUGCAGUUGAUAGCUGUCAGUUUUCAAGGUUAAAUAGCUUUUUUUGUUCGGGCAGAACUAUCAACUGCACCAAAAUUCGGUCAGACCAUUCGAUUGAAUCUUUAUUUUUCGUUGAGUUAAACUAAACCUUUACAUACACACAUUAAUGUCUUCUAAAACCCAAAUUCACCGACAACAUAGACCUCAGUUUUCUUAAAACAACUGUUUUCUAUGAAUUUUAACAUUCAAUUUUCAAAAAAGUAGUUUUUUUAAGGAAAACGGUCGUUUAUGUUGUCGGUUGUUGUCUUAAAACUCAUUCUGUGACAAAACCAAGUGCAAAAUCAGAUUGGAAAUGAAUACGCUUUAGAAAUAUGUAAUUAAUUAAAAUAACAUAAAGAAAAACAUGAUAAUUUCGACGCUAGAUAGUUAAUUUAGGCUAAGUACAAUACAGAUUAUAUGUGGCGUUUUCAGAGGGAAAUUUGUCUGAUUUUUAAUCUUGCAAAAAUUGUAGCAAAAAAUUAUAGAUUUUGAUGAUGACCUAGGAUAAUAAACAGCCUGCCUAGGUCUCUACAUCAGGUAGACUUUAUUAAAAAUUCUUUUGUUAUUAAAUCUGAUAAAUGAUUAUUCAUUUUGGACCUUCAAUCAAUACUAACAAAGUCGAUUUUCCUCUGAAAGCGCCAAGCAGAAACGCGUACCAUUAUCAAAUGUGAUGUAAAAAAACACCAAUAUGGCGUUCAAAAGAUUAUAAAAAAAGAUAUAUUAGAUUUUACCUUUAGCAAAUAUACCAGAAUGUAAAGAUAAUGGGAUGUUUGACUUGAAUUCCGCAAAGCUCUGAGCGUAUAAGUAGUCUUGCUUAUUACGGAGAAAGGAAAAAUAGCGGAGAUGCUAUAAGGCCUAGGUCAGGCGCCUUCUUGUAGCUCAAGUAACGUAUAGUUAUCGGCACGAAUAGCUCUGACCUACAUCUGCGCAGAAGUGAUUUAUUAGCAAAGAACCAAUCCCGAGUGACGGCUAUGACGCGAUGCACUGCGGGCCAAUCACCGCUUUAGCCCGCCCCCGCUCCUCACUUCAUACCACAAAAGGGACCCAAUUAAAUUACUUCUGCGCUGGUGAAGGUCAGAAGCUCAAGAUUCGUGCCGAUAACUAUACGAGUAAACCAACAAGGUUAUUUGACACAUCUGUCGUAGAUUUUUGGUUUUACAAAAAUGGGUGGAUUCCAAAGGAGCUAGUAAGGUUCCUCGUCCCCCGAACACCCGCAUGUUGUCGCGCUACUUUCUUAGGAGAUUUUCCGUUAUGACAUCUCCGCUAGUCAUUUUGUUCUCCAUGGUUUUAAUUUAGUGUUUGGCUGCGCAGUUAUUUCAGAACCAAGUCAUUUGAGAAAUAAUUUAAACUUUGAGCAUGUAGGUCUGUCUGCAAAAGGUUAAAUUAUGUGUAACUUGGUAUGAUAAUAGCUCACAUUAAAGAUGUAGGCAUAUUUAGGUAUAUGAGUGUCUAAAGUUCUGUAUGUGAGCGUAACCACGGAAAUCGCUAGUUUAAUAUCAUGAUCUGAAAUCAGGAAAGAAAGACAGACGAAGUAGCAUGAUAAUUAUCCUAUUUAACCGACUUCCCAAAAAGGAGGCAUCUUUUAUUACCAUUUUAAAUCGAGUAAAAAAUAUUGCUGUCUCUUUUUAACAAGUAUAGCGAGAAAGAGAUAUAAGAUUUAGUCAGGUUAUGGUAUUCUUGUCUCUUUCUAGUUGUAUUUUGAUAGAAAUAGAAUUGAAGUCCGAAAUUAAUGACAUUCAAUGGUUUUAAAAACAGUUUUUUUUAAACACAGGUGGAUCUUUCUAAGUCAAGUCAAAAUUCGGAGACAUUUUUUUCAUUUUAUUAUUUUGAUAUCAGAAAUACAAUUAAUAAGCAAGAGGCUCUAAGAAUCUCCAAAACAUGUGUACUUUUGCAACACCGAUCCUUACGAUUUUCAUAUACAACAUGUAACUUAAUUAACGCACAUCCUGAAAUUAGUUUGUUCAGAAUCGUUUACUGAAUCGAUUUAUAUCAUUUUUAAUAUAGGUCAUUUUUUAUCCCAAAAAUAAUUAAAACUACGGAAAUUAUUGUCAUAUUAUCCCUGUACAGUCAAAACAAAUUCAAAUAGACCGUAACUCAAAGUAAUAAGACUUCGUGUAUUGUCGGCUUUCUCCGUAGUUUCGUUAUGUUGUGUCGAGUCGAGCGGCUUGCGGCGUGAUAUUUGCGUGCGUAGUAGUAUGACCAACAAGUUCUCCAAGAAUUGGUAUAACUAAUUUAGUAAAUAACAAUGCAUAUACAUGUUAAAUUAAAAAUUCAGUGUAUGUAUUAUGAUUAUAACAUAAUAUUCUAAUUGUGGUGUUUGAGGGUGUGCGUUAAUUACGUUACAUGUUGUAUAUUGAAAAAUAUUUAUAUGUAUUUCCAAUUUGGCAGAAUACCUGUAUAAGAAUCAAUCUAUGAAGCAUAUAUAGGUUGAAGAUUAAAAAAUAUAUAUUUAUCUUUAACCUAGAUUAAUUUUAUUGGUCUUUCUGUAUAGAAUUUUUACAUUGGCACUGUAUAAAAAGCAAAAAAAAAGUACGAUAGAAAAAUAUAAUAAAAAAAAGUAUAGUAGUAAGAACUGAUACUUAUUUAACUUUUAAGUUUAUUAUUUUGUAUGAAUGUUCGCGUUUUUUGGUUGUGUGAAGAAAAUUUCUAUAAUAUGACAAUAAUUUUAAAAGUAUGGUUGAAAAGUAUUCAAAAUGUUGCCCAGUACGAGUGCGAUAAAACUACCAGUUCCUUUUAUCCCCUUUUUUAGUAUAUUUUUUUCAUUAGGUAACACCAGCCUUUAUGUUAUGUUAUUUUAAUUUAAUUCAAAAUGUAUUUGAUUAAGUUUUUAAUUUUCUCUUUUGUUUACAGUUUUGUUUUUGUUGUAAUCCAUAUUAAUUCUAUUAUUUUUUUCUUGAUCUCUCUUCGCUGGUGUCGGAUUGUCGAACCUUCGGACUAUGAGAGUGAGGGAAUAGUGAGUGCACCGCAGUCCAAGCAAAUGCUUGUGCACUAUAAUAUGUCCUGCGCAGCUGGCUGAUCUCCUUAUAUGAGAACAGGCGUCAUGACCGACAAUCGGUUAGAAGGGCAUUAUUAAUAUUUUUAUAAAAGUUUGAAAUAAUUUCUAACUGAAAACUGCCAAGUAUUGUGUGCUUACACAAAAAUAAUAGACUUUAGUUUGGAUUAUAAUAUAAUUUCACAAAUACACGCAUCAUGUAUAUUUUAAUACCUAAUUAUCGCAAUCUUUGUAUAUAUUGCUUGUUUAUAAUUAAAUUAAUUUAAUUUAUUUUA